ACAUGCAGAGAACUUUCCUAGAGAUGGAUUGGUGGCCUUCGGGAACUCUGACACAGGUGCUGCAUGGCUGUCGUCAGCUCGUGUCGUGAGAUGUUGGGUUAAGUCCCGUAACGAGCGCAACCCUUGUCCUUAGUUACCAGCACGUUAUGGUGGGCACUCUAAGGAGACUGCCGGUGACAAACCGGAGGAAGGUGGGGAUGACGCCAAGUCAUCAUGGCCCUUACGGCCUGGGCUACACACGUGCUACAAUGGUCGGUACAAAGGGUUGCCAAGCCGCGAGGUGGAGCUAAUCCCAUAAAACCGAUCGUAGUCCGGAUCGCAGUCUGCAACUCGACUGCGUGAAGUCGGAAUCGCUAGUAAUCGUGAAUCAGAAUGUCACGGUGAAUACGUUCCCGGGCCUU
rnacentral:rRNA from 1 species